rnacentral:rRNA from 1 species
GGAUUCCCCUAGUAACUGCGAGUGAAGCGGGAAAAGCUCAAAUUUAAAAUCUGGCAGCCUCCGGUUGUCCGAGUUGUAGUCUGGAGAAGCGUUUUCUGUGCUGGACCGUGUACAAGUCCCUUGGAACAGGGCGUCAUAGAGGGUGAGAAUCCCGUCUUUGACACGGACUGCCAGUGCUCUGUGAUGCGCUCUCAAAGAGUCGAGUUGUUUGGGAAUGCAGCUCAAAAUGGGUGGUAAAUUCCAUCUAAAGCUAAAUACAGGCGAGAGACCGAUAGCGAACAAGUACCGUGAGGGAAAGAUGAAAAGCACUUUGGAAAGAGAGUUAAACAGUACGUGAAAUUGUUGAAAGGGAAACGCUUGAAGUCAGUCGCGUCUGCCGGGACUCAGCCUUGCUUCUGCUUGGUGCAUUUUCCGGUUGACGGGCCAGCAUCGAUUUUGACCGUUGGAAAAAGGUGGAGGGAAUGUGGCACCUUCGGGUGUGUUAUAACCCCCCAUCGUAUACAACGGUUGGGAUCGAGGACCGCAGCACGCCUUAUGGCCGGGGUUCGCCCACGUUCGUGCUUAGGAUGCUGGCGUAAUGGCUUUAAGCGACCCGUCUUGAAACACGGACCAAGGAGUCUAACAUGCCUGCGAGUGUUUGGGUGGAAAACCCGAGCGCGUAAUGAAAGUGAUAGUUGAGACCUCUGUCAUGGAGGGCAUCGACGCCCGGACUUGAUCUACGGAGACGGUUCCGCGGUAGAGCAUGUAUGUUGGGACCCGAAAGAUGGUGAACUAUGCCUGAAUAGGGUGAAGCCAGAGGAAACUCUGGUGGAGGCUCGUAGCGAUUCUGACGUGCAAAUCGAUCGUCAAAUUUGGGUAUAGGGGCGAAAGACUAAUCGAACCAUCUAGUAGCUGGUUCCUGC